AGCAGCGAUUAGUGCAGUGGCUAGCAACAUUGUUUUCAACCAAGAGGUCUUGGGGUCAAAUCCCAUAGAUGCUG
rnacentral:tRNA from 1 species